UACGGAAGGGGCAAGCGUUGUUCGGAAUCAUUGGGCGUAAAGGGCGCGUAGGUGGUUCUGUAUGUCUAUCGUGAAAGCAUACAGCUCAACUGUAUUUUGUCGGUAGAAACUGCAGGACUUGAGGCUGGGAGGGGCUGGUGGAAUUCCCUGUGUAGCGGUGAAAUGCGUAGAGAUGGGGAGAACACUCGUGGCGAAGGCGGCCAGCUAGACCAGUUCUGACACUGAGGCGCGACAGCGUGGGGAGCAAACAGG
rnacentral:rRNA from 1 species